UUCUCGGUUCCGGCCGACCUAAUUAUUGCAGCGUAACAAUCCUUUAACGGAAUUGAAAAAUGUUAAUGUAUUGAUAAUGUGAUAAUGUAUUGUCUGACGCACUUGGAGCUAAUUAACUCAUGGUUUGUGCACAGCGUUUGACGGAAGAAGUUAACGCAACUGAUGUUUCUCUGAUCAAGUGUCCCAUAUUUUUCAGGUAUGUUCAGUAUGUUUUCAGGUAUGUUAACUCAUUGUAUAAAAUUAUAGAAUUUGUGUAAUUUGGUUUAUAAUGUUAUGGAGUAAAUUUGAAUAUAUUAUCAAUACUAUUUUUCUAUUCCCUUUUUCUAUAAUGCAUUUAAUUGCUUUGCAUUUGUGUAAUGCACUGAUUUCACUUCUAUAGUGUCAUUGCGAAUGUGUGUGAUGCCUUGGGAGAAUGUUUACAUUAAUUUUAUGCAUCAUUCAUUGUUAAUAAUACAAAUUGAGACAACAAUUGACACAGUGAUAUAUUAUCAUUUUAUUUUGAAUUCUUUAUUUUAUGGGUUUAAAUGCAUUACUCAAUGUUAAACAAAUUGUUGUAACAUCAGCCUCAGAGCGCGAGUGGACACUGAUGAGGCAGGACCCACAUUUUCUCUCUCCCUUCUUCCAUCUAUUGUUGCAUUUGACGGAAGAAGUUAGCGCAACUGAUGUUUCUCUGAUCAAGUGUCCCAUAUUUUUCAGAUCAAUAAAUGCUGUUUGGAGCUGGCCUGUUGUCUCCAGAGUAAAAUUCCUUAUGUGCAGAAUCGGAUCUGCUACAAUUGCAAACAACCUAUUGCACUCUGCAGUUUCAGAAGUGAUUUCUACAUGCAGGAUUCACGCUCAAAAUUGCUACCAUAACCAUAACACGGUACAAAAAUAUCCAAUAAUAGGAAUAAUAAUAAGCAAUGUAAACGCAGACUAGAAAAAUAUUAGAAUUUUUGUAUCAAUAUUUUUCAAAUUCUAUUCCAAGUAUUUGUAAAAUGACUUGAUCUUAUAUGUCUCACUAUACAUUGCUAUUCUUAUUAUGGUGGAGCCGUUGUUUACACAUUACACCUGUACUUUACUAUAGCACCCUCACUUAUUUCAGAAGCAAUGAAUUGAUUCUGGAACCGGACCAGCACUUAAACCGAACCGAACCGGAACUUAAAUUGGAUACACAGAAAAAUGCACGUUAAACUCACAGCACAUGCAGAUGAAGCUUUGAGACGCGAAUCAUGUGCUUCUUGCGUCAACAUUCUCAUACCCGAGCAACCGAUUUUAUUAGAUCAGCCUUUGUCAUGUGAUAAGCGCUCUAAGCUAUAUUGCGUGCGAGUUUGUUUUCGGUUCAGUUGACGGAUGCUUUGCCAAUGCAAUGACUCAAAACACCGCGUUAGUGAUCUUAUGUUCAUUAUAAAACUGGCGGGACAGAUUAGACUAAGGCGGGUCACCACUGCAAUAAUAUAGUUCGCAUGCAUUUGAUAUAGACUGCAAUAAAACAGGACAAUCCAUUUAAAAAGGCUAUUAUUCACAUGCAUGUGCUUAGCGUUUUAAUAAUUUGUUUAUAAAUUAAGUGUAACCUUUACUGAUCGAUUCGUACAGUGUGAAACCCACACCUUUACAUAAUCACCAGACGAUCUCUUCUCAAUGAACUGCUGAUGAACUGAUAAAGCCAUAAGAUGUGUUAAUUUAUAUAACAAUAGAUGGCGGUAAUGGAUUGUUUUAGUUCGUGAUCUGAAGACGCUGUGCUGCUUCAAUGCAUUGCAGGCUCAUCAGGGAUUUUGCUGUGCUCUAAACAAUACUGGCAGUGGCGAACAAAAUCGAAGCACCCCUAACAUUACAUCAUUCGCUCAAACUGUUUUGCGUUCAAUUUAGUUGCAGGCCUUUGUUAAAAAUUGGGUUUACAUGCUCUCAAUAAGAAAUCCAAAUUGGUGAAAUAAAUGAGAAAAUCGCAGCAUCCAAACUGUCUUCCAAACUGCAAAUGCUCUAAAAAUACUAUCUUGAGUGCAAAAACGUAUGUAUAUAUGUAAAAACGUAUGAGCUACAGCGAAAACACCUCUUAACUGUAAAUUAAUUUACAGUUGACCUGGAAAAAUACUGUUAACAACUGUAAUACUCUUUUUGACCCAUAAUGCAUUGCAAAAUACAGUCAUAACUUGUAAAAUGGUAAAACAGCAAGUUUCUGUAGAAUUUUGCUGUAAAAACUACAGCAAUUUGUUACAGUGUACGUACUUUUAAUGUGGUCUUUUAAUAGGAGAGGAAGAAACUAGUCUAUCAGGCUUGUGAGGAAAGACGUCAAAAGGUUUGUGUUUAUAAUAAAUUAGUUUGAUAAACUAGCUGAAGGUUUUUUUUGUUUUGUUUUUUUAAAUGAGAGAUCACAUUUCAGGCUAUUGAGGCAAGACGUCAUCGAAUGUCUGCAUGUGAGGAACCCUCAGAUGGGGUGUUGAUCAAAUUUAAAUAUCCAAAUGGACACACCAAUAUGAGCCAAUCCAGAUCUUGUUUGACUUUGUGGGACAAGAUGAUAUUGCCAGUGAAAUCUUUGUGGUGCAAGAAGCCGCAUCAUCAAGAUCAGUUGAGAGCAAUUCCUCCGGGUCAAUAAUGGAUCAUGGCAUAAAAGCAUCCUCAACUCUAUAUGUGCUUUGGUUUUCAAAUAAGGAUGUACAGGAAAUUCUCUCAGAUCAACAAAAUGAUGGAGCUUAUGCCCUACACCAUACAUCUCAUGGUCAGUCAUCACUGUCUGAGACCUCCACCCGCUCACUGCUGUCUGAGCCCUCCACCCGCUCACUGCUGUCUGAGCCCUCCACCCCGCUCACUGCUGUCUGAGCUCUCCACCCGCCCACUGCUGUCUGAGCCAUCCACCCUCUCACUGCUGUCUGAGCCCUCCACCCGCUCACUGCUGUCUGAGCCCUCCACCCCGCUCACUGCUGUCUGAGCCCUCCACCCGCCCACUGCUGUCUGAGCCCUCCACCCGCCCACUGCUGUCUGAGCCAUCCACCCUCUCACUGCUGUCUGAGCCCUGAUGAGGGCCGUCCACCAGUCAAAUAUCUUUGAGGGACAUGAGAAAGACCGGCAGUUGUCUCUUGAUACUCAAGCUUUGCAGACUAAACUUUACACGUGGGUGGCAAAAAUGAUUGCUGUGUGUGUGGUCCAUGGAGGAGUCGGUCCACAUUUCUUUUCCUAAAGGCUUUUCCAUCAAAUCUGUGGGAUACCAACACACCUGGCCACGGUGGAUGAAGUUGGUGACCAUACUUUCAGGGAACAGUUAAUAAAAAUACAGGAAGCAACAACAGUCCGAGGGACGAACGGUGCAAUUGCAGAGGCAGCAGAUAGUCUCAGCAUUAUAGGUGCCUUAAGACAUGUGUCCAGUCUGGAGGAGAAGGACUCCCUUGUCCAGUCAGCUGCAGACUUCUUUGUCAAUGGAAGAUUGGCGACUGUCCUGGACCAGUUUGUUGAGGGGUUAAAAUCCCUUGGUUUACUGGAGGAGCUGAGGAAGAAUCCGGCAGUGUUCUACAACAUGUUUGUCAGUGAGGAGAUUCCACUACAGGCGAAGGACCUAUGCACUUUAUUUGACGUGGACUUCUCUGUGCAAGGCAGCAACAGGAGAGACCGAGAAAACAUGACAAUAUGCUUUUGGCGUGACUGGAUAAUUGAUAUUGAAGGUAUACUAUUUAUUGUACAAGUUAUAAUAACAUGGACUUCAUAAGUACAAUUAUUAGUGGUCAUUUUGUUGUCCUGGUUGGCAGGAAAAUAAAUGCUGAUAAUGCCAUAGUUGAAGUGACAUUGUGAAGUCUGGUUGUGUGAACAUGGGUAGCUCCCUUAAACUUGUUCAUAUUGUGUUGUAAUAUUUUACCAAAAACGUACUUGACUGAGGCUUUUGUGGUUGAUAUUCACCACAAAAAGUCCUCGAUGUCAGCAUGCAACUUCCAAAUUGCUCCAAAGUAACGCAUACAAAAGGUUAGGGCUAGGCGAUAUGGCCUAAAAAUAAAAUCAACAUAUGUGUUUUAAGGGGCCUGAAUUACUGUUUCUCGCCACUUUCUUGUGUUACAGAAGGAGAAUGCAGUCCAGUCACCCUAAAAAAAUUUAAGCCAGUACAACAAAAAAAAAUCUUGGUACUAAUUUCCCCUAGCUUUUUCUUGUUUACUCAACUUUUGUAAAUAACAGUUAAACUGACUGAAAUUAAGUUGUCAGUCAUACAAAAAAUGUUUAGUUGAGUUAACUUAAGAUUGUUAGUUUUCUGGAGAGGUCCAACUAUUCUUUAACAAACUUUUUUAAGUUGGGCCAACUCAACAUAGUGACAAUUCAGCUCAUAAUUUAUUCAUGCAGCAAUGCAUGAUGGGAGCCAUGGAUGCAUUUUGAUUGGUGGCUCCCAGAAUGCACUGCAACAUGUUUUUUGAUGGCCACCACUGUUGAGAUUCACAGACUGAUUCUUGAUGUCUGUGUCUCUAAAUGCAUUACCUUUUUUUAUCAGAACUUUUGAGAGAUUUUUCAGAUUAUAUUGAGAAAGCUGAUCUUCUGCUGUAGAAUCACAGUGCUGCUAUAAUCAAUAAUGUAAAUCUAACUCAGAGAUUGGGCUCUAAAUGAG